rnacentral:rRNA from 1 species
CCUACGGGAGGCAGCAGUGAGGAAUAUUGGUCAAUGGCCGCAGGGCUGAACCAGCCAAGUCGCGUGAGGGAUGACGGUCCUAUGGAUUGUCAACCUCUUUUGUCAGGGAGCAAAGGGCGCCACGUGUGGCGUUUUGCGAGUAACUGAAGAAAAAGCAUCGGCUAACUCCGUGCCAGCAGCCGCGGUAAUACGGAGGAUGCGAGCGUUAUCCGGAUUUAUUGGGUUUAAAGGGUGCGUAGGCGGAAUGCCAAGUCAGCGGUAAAAGCGCGGGGCUCAACCUCGCUCCGCCGUUGAAACUGGCGGUCUUGAGUUGGCGAGAAGUAUGCGGAAUGCGUGGUGUAGCGGUGAAAUGCUUAGAGAUCAUACAGAACACCGAUUGCGAAGGCAGCUUACCAAUCUAUAUCUGACGUUGAGGCACGAAAGCGUGGGGAGCAAACAGGAUUAGAUACCCUUGUAGUC